GGCUACGGCCAUGCCACCCUGAACAAGCCCAAUCCCGUCUGAUCUCGGAAGCUAAGCAGGGUCAGGCCUGGUUAGUACUUGGAUGGGAGACCACCUAGAAAUACCAGGUGUUGUAGGCG
rnacentral:rRNA from 1 species